CUUGCACUCUACAACGGUACAGGAAUUGGGGGGGAGGAGUAUUUCCCAGCACUGUUAAUCUAGGUAUACAAGGCAUAUGCUGUUGUACUAGAACAGUACUAAUGAAUACCAGUGCUCAAAAAGAGCAGAUAUGUGACUAUUAGUCACACACCUUGAUAUCAAUAGUCAGUGAAACAGUAGGAAAGUAUAAAUAUGGUUCUGUUACUGAAAAAUUAAACAUUGCAUGUAAUUCAGUGCAAGGGAUUUAAUGACAAAAAGUUUUAUCAGACAAGCCUGAUAUAAUCGUUUAUAGCCAUUACAAGCUUGAUGAAGGUGAUCAUAGAGAGCUUUAUCUAAGGGGUGUUUGAUGUCAUGCUGUGUAUUCUCAUCUGACGUAACACUAUGUGGUAUCGACAGAGAAUAUGUAAACUGGAUUCGGGACAGCAGAGUGUUCUCACAGGGUGCUUGUUGAUGUAGAAUUAGCAUUAAACCAGGUACCGUGCUUUGGGGAUCACUAGAGGCCACUAAUAUGAAAUCACUGGGGACAGAAUUGGUAAGCAUGAGACUAGGGAAAGCAGUCACACAGAAUUCUUUGAAUUGUUUGAAAGCUUCAGGCAUUCAGCCUAAAAAUUACUGUAGCAUGGACGAAGUAGCGUGUAUUAUGCCUAUAGUAAUAUAAAAUGUAGAUUAAAACUACAGCUUGGUGGACUGUAUUAUAGAAAGUACUGACCUGUGAAAGUAUCUAGAGACUGGUUAUGGUAGUCAGUUCCAUCUGAAUUAUUAGGAGACUAUAGCAAAAGUGAUUAAUCAAUCUCAUGAUGCAUGAGUGCAAGAAUAUUGCAUAAAAGCAGGUUGCUGAUGCUAUUUUUGUAUACCAUAGCAGUAGAACGACCACAGCAAGUGUGUGUAGAUUUGGUAUCCUGAUUUUUAAGUGGGGCUAGUAGAACUUGUUAUUUCAAGUAAACACAGGUGGUUCUGUAUGUAAAAGCCAUGGAACUCCUUGCCAAGGACAUGGUACAAGCAAUAGGUUUACAUGGGUUCAGAAUAAGACUCAACAUGUUCCAGACUUAGAAGAUAAGCCAAUGAUGGAUAUUUAGAUACAAAAAAAAUCCUUUUUAUCUUCAAGAAGUCCCUGCAAAGUAGAGGCUGGAGAUCAGAGUAUUGAAGGACAUAUAUGUGGUGGCCCUAUUUAUACUUCUUUCAGCAUCUGCUAGUAGCUAGAUGCAGGAUACUGUAUCAGAUCAACCUGCUGUUUGAUAUGGUGUAGAAACUGGAGAAAGAGCAGAAGAGAGCAGCUGUAGAACUUACCUGAGAGCUGGAGAACUUUCAAGGUAAGAUGUUUAAAUCUUUAUCUUUUCAGUUUAGCAAAAACAAGAAUAAGGUUCUGUGACAACUUAAUUAUAGCCUCUAUGCGUUGUCAUUACAUAUUAAAGGCUCUUUAGUAGGAGCAUUUCAGCUGGAAGCUGAGGACAGUCAUUGCAAAGAGCAUUUUUAACAGUGAAGGAGACUAACUAUUUGGUUGAACUACUCAGAAAAUUGGUGGAGUUUUCAGUUCUUACUGUCUUCAAAUCAAGACAAGUGAAAGCUCUUCUAGGAGAUAUGCUUUUGCCAAACAUAAUGUAUUCAACUUAAUUCAGAAUAACUGGGUGAAAUGGAAUGGCUGAUGAUAUGCAAAUCAGGUUGAUUUCACGGGCCUUUUCUCUUUAAAAUUCUACAAUUGCAUAAUCUUAGCAAAAAAGUUGGUUGCAUGUUUAUGCAGAACAGAGGUGUAAAACCCAUCUAAUUUACUGUCAAGGACCUCCUGCCUUUUAAGCCACUAAUGGAAAGCAAAAGUAAAUGGAGAAAGUACUCUUAAGUGAACAUCUUAACCUGAAAUAGUUUUCUUUAACUGCAUAAUUGUGAGAUUUACAAGCUUUUAUAAGAAAACUGAGCAAAUGUUAUUCCACAUGAUGGAAAAUGCAUAUGCUUUGAUUUCUGCUUGAAGAAGGCAGUAUUUUUCUCUGAGAAAGUAAAAACUGAUAAGUAUUAGUAAGUUAUUGCUACAAAUAGGAUUUUUAACUAGCUAAAGUUACUUGCUAUUUCUUUUCCCUUGAGUUGUCUCCUUUGGAUUUCCAGAUUUCGGCUUGACUUUUACAGAUUAUUACCUCUUUUUGCAGAGCUAAUGCUUUCUGAUAGAACUUGCUAUCAGGCCGAAAACUUAUCCUGUCAUUCUUGCCUCUCCCACACCUGUCCAUCAAAGUAUUUUUCUCUUCAGGAACUUAGUCAACCCCAUAGCUGAAAUGUAUGCUUUAAGCUUGGGAGAAUCAACAAGGAACUGAGAAAUUUCUAUUUCUUCUCAUUCUUUCAUUAAACUAUUUCCUGAGAGCUAGUCAUAGCUCAAAUUACAACAAGAUCUGGGAAAAGAUAAAAAACCUAAUCAGAUUUAUAAAACCAUAUAAUGUAUGAAAUGUUAUGAGUCUAGUCAGUAAUAGAGGUUUUUACAAGGACUAAUUAAGUUGAUAUUCUAAAUAUGAAAGAGUUUUGACCCGAAACAUUACAGAAAUGUCUCAAAGCACGUGUAUAUGGCACAUUGAGCUUUGAGAGGAUGCACUGAAAGUACAUUUUGGUCACCUUGAUAAUUUUUCAAAAGUGUGUUUUUGUAUUUCAAGCCUAGUAAGUAAGAGAAUUCUAUUGAAAAUUCAGAAUCAAGAUGCAUAGAGAUUACAGGGUUUAAAUCAGCUGUCUGUAAAACAGAAAUGAUUAUAGUGCAAUUAAACAUUUUCCCCCUAGAAUGAAAUUUUAUUUUUAUAUAAAUAAGCUUGCAUUCUCUGCAGGAAAGGAAAAUUGUCAGGCGUUGUAGAUACAUUGUCUGUCACAUUACAAAUGUACUUAUGCCUUAUUUGUCACUGCAGGGCCAUGCUUGUUCUUUUUCCUGUUGAGGAUGGUAAUCUCUGGGUAAACCCGGCCAUAGGCCCCUCCACUGUUUCUAAUGGAACUCAAUCAGCAAGGGAAAGAUCAAGCAAGUGUGAAUACAAACAAAAAACACACCUGAAGAUCUUCUGAUUUACUGCCAAAUCACCAUCUUUUUUCCUUCAGGUUGUUUUCUGUAUGCAUGUUUACUCUGAUGGAGACAUUCAGCAAUACCCCUUAACCUGAAGGAGGAAAUUCCUUUCUAGGAUGGCUCUCAAGAACUGAACCACGGGGUUUUGAUGACAAGGUCUCUGUAUUUGAAAGCAGAACUCUUAGGAAACAGAAGUAGAAGAGAUUGAAGGAAAAAAGUGGUAAAGCAAGAGGGAAAGGAGAGAGAAUCAUGUGAAAAGCCCGAGGCUGGCUUACCGGGAAGAAAACAGCAAAACACAACCAUAUUGUGCCCUUCACCACCCCUGAGCAAUGAAGCGCAGCGUCACAAGCUUUUGUAAGGCAGGUGGCGUGCCAAAGUCCACACAAGGGCUGUGCUGGCCUUGGGAGUUUUGAAUAGCUAAAGAAAACAUGUACCACCAUUUUUUUGCCAUUCUGCUGGUGUAAGCAGCUUGUGGUUUGCCUGGGGCUUUCAGCAGCGAGGAGGAGGGCAGCUCUGCUGGCAGCCAGCAGUUCUGGGGAACUCAUGCAUCAGAUCUCAGAAGCUCAAGGUAUGGCUAUUUCUGUCCCCUUGUGGACAGUCACAUGGUGCCGGUCAUAUCACAGUGGCCACCAGUCAGGUCUGCUGACAGAAGGGGUGGCUGAGCUCAGCUGGUGCUGCAGCCUAGGCCUGUGCUGGGUAACCAAGCUGCUUCUCAGUCACGUUUUCUGCGGCAGUUCAGCAGAGAUUGGCACAUGACCAAGAAGAGUUCAAGGACUUUGGUAGGUUCCUCUCACUCUACAGCACCUAUUAUUUGUAUUACAAUGUCAUACUGAGUGCUGCACAUACUAAAUAAGGGAGGUUCUCUCUGCUGGGCUGCAUACCAUCCAAAGCUGGAGGGAUUACAGCACUCCUGCUACAUAUGGUCUGUGGCAGACGGAGGUACAGAUUUCAGAGCUUCUAAAUCCUGCAUCAGCGAAUUAACAAGAUUAUCCUUUCACUGUGAAAAUAAGAUUGAGAGAGAUUUUGAUAACAGCGGGCCACACAGAAGCUAAGUUAUGUUGAAUUACGUGGAUCAGUAAAACAUUUACAUUUUAUGUUGCACAUGUACUUAAUAAGAACACCACCCCUCCAGCGCUGAUGGUCAAUUGUAAAAGUGCCACCUUGGUCGUUGAGCACUUAGGCUGGCCUCCGUAUUUCUAUUACAAACUCUUUUUGACAUUUAUGACCUGUCUGUAUGAAGGAUUCCUUUAUGCGCAAGCAGUACUAGAUGAAGGUGGGCCAAAGUAAUCAGUUGUCCCAGAGAAAUAAGAAGUCACAGAAAAAUCUCACAUUUAAAAUAGUACUUUGGCAAAGAAACCCAGAAUCCAACUGACACUUUAGCUCGUCUCUUACAAAUAUCCAGCCACAAACUUUCCCCAGCUUCUCAUCCAGCAGAGGUGCUCCUCCCCUGUUCCUUCCCCUUCACCCCUUUUCUGAUCAGAUCCAUUUCUUUCAUCCGUACAGUAUUGCCACUUGUAUCCUCUGCAUUUUUUAGUCUGCUCAGAAUGGAGCGACAGCAUGGCUCCUCGGAGUCCUGGUUCUUGCUGGUGUAACAUGGUAAGCCACAGUGCAUGCAUGUCCCUGAGAGGUGUGAGGAUGCCCCUAGGAUCUGGCCUCCAUCUGGCUCCUUCCCACACACUUUACUCAAACCAUGGCAGCACUUCAGUGUGGCAACAAAGCUGUCAGUGUGAACAAGUGCCCAGGCUGCUCCUCUCCUUGCCCUAGAACAUGGAGAACGGGUAUGUGUUAGUAUCAAACAUCAGUAUACCCUCCUGGCAUGUGUGUUGGGGGAGCACACCCUAUCAUAUGAAUAAUUGUGUGCACAAGUGCACACACUCAGCAUGUGGCCAAGACUAUGAAAGCUUUGGUUACAUCAUUCAGUGCGUGGCAUGGAAGGAGCUUUGUUCAUGUAUCCCCCAGUGUCUCUUUAACAGGCCCUGUCAGAGGGCUUCACCUCAGCUCUAGACACCAAAUUCUGAGCGCAGCAGUGGCUGUGCCCAGGAGCUGCCAGAUCUGCACAGUAUGGCCUUGAGGGUGGAGGGGAGAAAAUGUGUCCUAAUUGUAGAAAUGCUUGCUUGAAACGUGUGUGUUAAGAAUAUAAGCAGUUUGCAGAGCUGGAUCUGCAUUCUCAUCAGCAUUUGUCACAUCGGGAAAGAACAUCCACGCUAUCCAGUAAAAUUAAAUAAUAAUGAUAAUGAUAAUCCAUCCUAGCCCAGCUCUUGGUACUGCAUUGCUGGAUUGUUUAGCUUAUUCGCAUGACUUGCACUUACAGGAAAACUCCGGCAGACAAUGAAGAUGAGGCAAAGCAGAGCUGUACGGAUGGCUAGUGGCCAUCUCCCAGUGUUACUAUAUUCCUCGAGUAAGGAAGUCCCGAUUUCACAUUGAGAUCCAUUUUUAGGUAUUUAAAUUCACACAUAUUGUAUAACACCAUUAAUUUCCUCUGAUAUUCAUAAUGUACCUGUAUGAAAUCUAGUGUGGGUUGAAAUCAGAAGCAUACAAUAUCUAGACUGCUUUAGGAAUAUCCUUCGACAGGGAAGGGAUUUUAUAGAUUUGCAAACCAUCCUACUGCCCUCAGCACAUGACCACAUGGGAUUUGGCUCCAGCAGAGUGACUGUCGAAGACCAACACUCCCCUGGGGCAGUUUCACAACUCUGUCACUGCCUGUUGGCUUACAACAAGAAUAAAUAUUACUUAUGUGCUAUGCUGCAUCCCAAGCCUUAAUCAGAGCCAGAGUGCCAACCUCACUGUCUGGAUCCAGAGUGGGGAGAAAAUGCCUGUUGCUUGCUUUACCCUUUGAUGCUGUAGACUCUGGCUGUGUAGUGGCACUGCGUCACUCCUGCUCCUGGCAGCUGGAAACCCACUGCCUGCUCUGUCCCAGGAACGCAAUUAACCUAGGGUGUGAAUCCCAAUGACGGCUCUCUUGGUCCAGGUCUGGAGGCAAGAGGCUCUUACUCCCGUUACCACACCCUGUGCAUGGAGCCUACCUGUGCUGGAGGAUUGGAAAUGUUUCUAUUUGUUUUCACAGGGUGUUUCAGUAUGCAGAUUCUGCCACUGUAGCCAAGUCUUUGCAGCAAAUAUUGUGAUAUAGCAGGUAGACCUUUAAAGUCUUAGUUCAUUAAUGCUCAUUAUAGAAUUAUUUGCAGGGAGAGACUUUGAUUCUGCAUGACUGGAUAAACUGUUGGCGUUAAACUUCUUUUCUUCUUUGCCAAAGCACUGAUAUACGUGAUAUUAACACCGAAUCUUAAAUUACCCUACAUAUUUGUCUGACAAUUGUGUUUAUGUCUAAACAUGCCUUAAUGUCAAUCUUUUUCAGCAUAUAAACACUGGGAAGAAAAGCCUUAUUUAUUUUAAAGAUGAAAGAAAUUUUAAAUGGAAGGUUUUUACAGCUGAACACAUAUGCCAGGACCAAAGUUUAGUUGGAAUUUCACAAACUGUUACCCUCAGCUAUCAAAUUAAAAAGCCUCAAUCCACAGGCAGCAUUACUGGAAUUUGCCAGUACUUUUAUCUGCUUCACACACAAGAAAGUAAAGCAACUGUUGGGGCACCUGCAUGCUAUUUGGAUGUGGCAGAACUGUCUCUUGUCCCACUC